rnacentral:rRNA from 1 species
GACGAACGCUGGCGGCGUGCUUAACACAUGCAAGUCGAACGGAAAGGUCGUGCUUUUGUGGGGUGCUCGAGUGGCGAACGGGUGAGUAACACGUGAGUAACCGGCACUGGACUUUGGGAUAACUUCAGGCAACUGGGGCUAAUACCGGAUAGGAGCUCCUGCUGCAUGGUGGGGGCGGGAAAGUUUCGGCGGUUGGGGAUGGACUCGCGGCUUAUCAGAUUGUUGGUGGGGUGGUGGCUUAGCAAGGCUUUGACGGGUAGCCGAGCUGAGAGGGUGAGCGGCCACGCUGGGCUGGGGCUGCGGCCCAGCCUCGUACGGGACGCAGCGGAGGGGAGUAUUGCACUGGAGGAUGGAGGCUAGCGCAGUCACGCCACGCGCGGGAUGAGGGGCAUCGCGUUGUAAUGCACUUCCCUUUGUCACGAGGCGUGAGUGACGGUAACGGGUGAAGAAGCACCGGCUAACUACGUG